CCUACGGGGUGCAGCAGUGAGGAAUAUUGGUCAAUGGACGGAAGUCUGAACCAGCCAUGCCGCGUGCAGGAAGACGGCUCUAUGAGUUGUAAACUGCUUUUGUACAAGGGUAAACCUGAAUACGUGUAUUCAGCUGAAAGUACCGUACGAAUAAGGAUCGGCUAACUCCGUGCCAGCAGCCGCGGUAAUACGGAGGAUCCAAGCGUUAUCCGGAUUUAUUGGGUUUAAAGGGUGCGUAGGCGGUAGGAUAAGUUAGAGGUGAAAUGUCGGGGCUUAACUUGGGAAUUGCCUCUAAUACUGUGUAGCUAGAGAGUAGAUGCGGUAGGCGGAAUGUAUGGUGUAGCGGUGAAAUGCUUAGAGAUCAUACAGAACACCGAUUGCGAAGGCAGCUUACCAAGCUACAUCUGACGUUGAGGCACGAAAGCGUGGGGAGCAAACAGGAUUAGAUACCCGAGUAGUC
rnacentral:rRNA from 1 species